GACGAACGCUGGCGGCGUGCUUAACACAUGCAAGUCGAGCGGUAAGGCCCUUUCGGGGGUACACGAGCGGCGAACGGGUGAGUAACACGUGGGCGACCUGCCCUCAGCUCUGGGAUAAGCCUGGGAAACCGGGGUCUAAUACUGGAUAUGACUCCAUGACGCAUGUUGUGGGGUGGAAAGCCUUGUGCGGCUGAGGAUGGGCCCGCGGCCUAUCAGCUUGUUGGUGGGGUGAUGGCCUACCAAGGCGACGACGGGUAGCCGGCCUGAGAGGGCGACCGGCCACACUGGGACUGAGACACGGCCCAGACUCCUACGGGAGGCAGCAGUGGGGAAUCUUGCGCAAUGGGCGAAAGCCUGACGCAGCGACGCCGCGUGAGGGAUGACGGCCU
rnacentral:rRNA from 1 species